GAUGAAGAACGUAGCGAAAUGCGAUACGUAAUGUGAAUUGCAGAAUUCAGUGAAUCAUCGAAUCUUUGAACGCAUAUUGCGCUCUCUGGUAUUCCGGAGAGCAUGCUUGUUUGAGUAUCAGUAAACACCUCAACUCCCUUUUCUUUUUUGAAAUGGGAGCUGGACUUGAGUGAUCCCAACACUUUUCUCACUGGAAAGUGGCGGGUCACUUGAAAUGCAGGUGCAGCUGGACUUUUCUCUGAGCUAUAAGCAUAUCUAUUUAGUCUGCCUAAAAAACAGAUUAUUACCUUUGCUGCAGCUAACAUAAAGGAGAUGAGUUCUUGUGCGGACUGAUGCAGGAUUCACAGAGACAGCUUUGCGGCUGACUUUGUAAACUCGAUCUCAAAUCAAGUAAGACUACCCGCUGAACUUAAGCAUAUCAAUAAGCGGAGGA
rnacentral:misc_RNA from 1 species